rnacentral:miRNA from 1 species
UGUCCGGUAGCACCUUAGAGACCAACUAAGUUUGUUGUUAGUAUAAGCUUUCGUGUGCAUGCACACUUCUUCAUGCACAUGAAAGUUUAUAUCAAGAUCAAACUUAGUUGGUCUCUAAGGUGCUACUGGACA